CAAGAUGUUUUAAUCGCAUCUCAUAUGACAGUCCCGCAGUAAACACCUGACCUCCCACUCUGUCAGUUGUGGAACAUUGUGUGGCAAGUUACAAACUAUCAGACAUGGCGCUUGAGUGGAUGGGAAAGAUGCCAGGAUGGGAGAGCAUUGUUCUCCUGGGCCUCCUCCUCUUCCUCCUCCUAAUCUUCGUCGCUCCAGGAAGACGACCUCCAAAUUUUCCUCCAGGUAUGCCGAUGCUACCAGUAGUGGGUUCCCUGCUUCACAUACGCGGUGUGCCGUUAAGAACUUUACUACGUAACCUUAAGAAGGAGUAUGGCAACAUGGCAAGCUUUGGCAUCUUUGGCACCGGGUAUGGCACUUGUUUGUGGUUCGUCCAUUACCAACUUUCGUUUGCUGUCUAAGUCUGUCUGUGGCUCUGACUAUGCUUUAGUCAGCUUCUCUGUCUGCCUGUCUGCCUGAGAGUCUGUCUGUCUGAAAGUCUUGCAGUAUGUUUGUCUCUGUUUCAGUCCCUCUUAAAUACGUACUCACCACCUAAGUAAUAUUGGCUCUUAUUAAAAUAGCAAAUUAAAUAGGUAUUCACCACCUAAGUAAUAUUGGCUCUUAUUAAAAAUAGCAAAUUAAAUAUGGGGAAAGUCUAUACUACCUUUCUCAUUAUUGUUGUUAGGUAAU